CAGAGACGGAGUUCUUCAGUUCGGCUGGACCGGAGACAGGUGCUGCAUGGCUGUCGUCAGCUCGUGUCGUGAGAUGUUGGGUUAAGUCCCGCAACGAGCGCAACCCCCGUCCUUAGUUGCUACCAUUUAGUUGAGCACUCUAAGGAGACUGCCGGUGAUAAGCCGCGAGGAAGGUGGGGAUGACGUCAAGUCCUCAUGGCCCUUACGGGCUGGGCUACACACGUGCUACAAUGGCGGUGACAAUGGGAUGCUAAGGGGCGGCCCUUCGCAAAUCUCAAAAACCCGUCCCAGUUCGGAUUGGGUUCUGCAACUCGAGCCCAUGAAGCUGGAUUCGCUGGUAAUCGUGGAUCAGCACGC
rnacentral:rRNA from 1 species